rnacentral:lncRNA from 1 species
GGAGAACCCAGAGUUCCGUGUUGUGAGAAUAGUAAAUUUGAUCACCUUUCUGGGUCCCCAGCUUCCUUAUGCAGAACGCAGGUUAUCACCCUGGAAACACAUGCCUGGCACUUGGACAUUUGUAUGCCUCAGGACACUCCUGGAUAGCUGACACAAGAGGAAACCAUUUCCAACUGCUGCUAUGGUUUCUCUCCCUUCUUCCUCUGAAGCACUACAGCACUUUCAAAGUAAAGAUUAUAGAAUAAGGUAAGAUUUUACCUAGUUUUAUCAUUGUACAGCCUAUUGCUAAAAAAGAUGUAUUACAUUUUUUU